GUAUCCGACAAAACUAUGUAUACCCCAGCACAUUUUUUAUUGUUCUUUGAAUAUUUUUUUCAAAAGUUCAACAAUUAAAAAAUUGUACAUACGGUAAGUGCACACUAUAAGUUGACAAAUAAUAACGGUAUGAUAUUUACCGUUAGCUUUUAUUUUGCUUGCAGAAUGUGCACUUGUUGAUGAUCAGUUGAACUUUGCAGGCGACAAAAUUAUGUAUACCGUGGCAAUAUUUGUGCGUAGAGCUUCUUUGCGUAAAUAGUUUUCGCAAAUAUUUAGAAACAAACUCGACAAAGGUAAAAUUUCAUGAUUUUAUACUCGAUAAAAGUGUUUGGGUAAAUAAUAUAAAGAUUUUAUUUAGUGAAAUGCCAAGAUCUGCAGAAAUAAGCGUUGACCUGCGAAAAUUGAUUGUUCAUGAUCAUUUAGAUGGAAUGGGAUACGGAAAAAUUGCAAACAAAUAUUCUAAAAGCAAGGCCACAAUCCAAAAAGUGAUAAAAAAUUACCAAAAAAAUGGUGGGCUAGAGAGUGCUCCAAGAUCAGGCCGCCCUAGAGUAACUACAGUGCGCGAAGAGACAAAAAUAGUGAGAGAAGUGAAAAAAGAUCCGACUGUAUCAGCCCGAUUUAUUAAGCAGAGCCUUCAAAUAGAUGUUUCCGAGCGAACAAUUCAACGAAGAAUUCGAGAAGACGGGUAUUCCAGCCACUACAAGAUUAAAAAACCGUUCAUCAGCCAGAAAAAUUUAAAGGCACGAUUGGAGUUUGCAAAAAGGUAUUACAAACUGCCACCAAAUUUUUGGAAAAAAGUAAUUUGGAGUGAUGAAAGCAAAUUUGAAUUUAAAAAUACUAAAGAACGGCAAAAAGUUUGGCGAAAGAGCCACGAGAAGCUUCAGAGUAAAUGCAUUCAAAGCACCAUAAAGUUUGUAGGCGGAAAUGUAUUGGUUUGGGGUUGUUUUAGCUACAGUGCUCUCUCAAAUCUCGUAAUGAUCGAAGGUAAAAUGACAGGAGAGUCUUAUGUUCAAAUGUUAAGUACCAAUUUUGAGCCAGCUACGCAAAAAAUGGGCAUAAGGAUAACUUCAUAUACCAGCAGGACAACGACCCCAAGCAUACAAGUCGGGUUGCAAAAGAAUACUUCGAACAAAAAUCGAUAGAACUCCUACCAUGGCCUCCCCAAAGCCCCGACUUAAACCCCAUUGAGCACUUAUGGCAAUAUUUGGAUGACAAGCUUGAACGAUCUUCUUGCCGUUCAAAUAAAGGCGAGAUUUUUAAUAAAUCGAAAGACUCCUGGAAAAACAUACCCCAAUCACUUCUUCAAAACUUGGUUAACAGCAUGUCUCGACGUCUAUUGGCAGUAAUUAAUGCUAAGGGUGGCAACACUAAAUAUUGAAGCUCUAGUGUGAAGAUUACCGCGUAUUUUGCAGUCACUAGCACUAAAAUGCAGAAAAUUAAUUUAAUUUUUUGUAUGUAGUAUACUCAUAAGCAAAAACAAAAACCAUGCAAAAAAAUAAACUUCAUUUUUCAAAAGAUAUGAUAAUUUUCUUUUCAACUUUCAUGGGGUAUACAUAGUUUUGUCGGAUACUGUAUGUA